AGAGUUUGAUCCUGGCUCAGGACGAACGCUGGCGGCGUGCUUAACACAUGCAAGUCGAGCGGUAAGGCCCUUUCGGGGGUACACGAGCGGCGAACGGGUGAGUAACACGUGGGUGACCUGCCCUCAGCUCUGGGAUAAGCCUGGGAAACUGGGUCUAAUACCGGAUAUGACCUUCCAUCGCAUGGUGGGGAGUGGAAAGUUUUUCGGCUGAGGAUGGGCCCGCGGCCUAUCAGCUUGUUGGUGGGGUGAUGGCCUACCAAGGCGACGACGGGUAGCCGGCCUGAGAGGGCGACCGGCCACACUGGGACUGAGACACGGCCCAGACUCCUACGGGAGGCAGCAGUGGGGAAUAUUGCGCAAUGGGCGAAAGCCUGACGCAGCGACGCCGCGUGGGGGAUGACGGCCUUCGGGUUGUAAACCUCUUUCGCCAUCGACGAAGCCUUCGGGUGACGGUAGGUGGAGAAGAAGCACCGGCCAACUACGUGCCAGCAGCCGCGGUAAUACGUAGGGUGCGAGCGUUGUCCGGAAUUAUUGGGCGUAAAGAGCUCGUAGGCGGUGUGUCACGUCGGUCGUGAAAACUUGGGGCUUAACCCUGAGCUUGCGGUCGAUACGGGCAUCACUUGAGUUCGGCAGGGGAGACUGGAAUUCCUGGUGUAGCGGUGAAAUGCGCAGAUAUCAGGAGGAACACCGGUGGCGAAGGCGGGUCUCUGGGCCGAUACUGACGCUGAGGAGCGAAAGCGUGGGGAGCGAACAGGAUUAGAUACCCCAGUAGUCC
rnacentral:rRNA from 1 species